rnacentral:misc_RNA from 1 species
AAGUCGUAACAAGGUAACCGUAGGUGAACCUGCGGUUGGAUCAUUAUUGAAAAACUUUACUAUAUCUUUGGUUAUAAGGGGGGGGGAGAUUUUUUCGCCUUUCCUUAUGCCUAAGAGGUAACCCCAAAACCAUUAGAACAGGCCUCUCACUUUAUUGGGUGAAGGCCAGUUUAUAUAAUGAACAUAAUCACCUUAUUACUUUUUACUAUAGUAAGGUCAAAAGAUUAGGAUUUAACGUUGGGGGAUCAAUUAUUCGUAAGAGUAGUUUCCCCCCAUGUUAGCCUAGUCCCCUUGCUAUGGUUCUAGUAGUAAAACCCAAUAUAAAAAACAUUUACUUUCAUUUUAUUUUUUUCCAUCAAACGAAAACAAAUAAAAAACAACUUUUGACAAUGGAUCUCUUGGCUCUC